UACGGAGGGGGCUAGCGUUGUUCGGAAUUAUUGGGCGUAAAGCGCACGUAGGCGGCUAUUCAAGUCGGAGGUGAAAGCCUGGAGCUCAACUCCAGAACUGCCUUUGAAACUAGAUGGCUAGAAUCAUGGAGAGGUCAGUGGAAUUCCGAGUGUAGAGGUGAAAUUCGUAGAUAUUCGGAAGAACACCAGUGGCGAAGGCGGCUGACUGGACAUGUAUUGACGCUGAGGAGCGAAAGCGUGGGGAGCAAACAGG
rnacentral:rRNA from 1 species